GUUUAAUAUUGUGUAAAUACAAUUACAAAAUAGUUAUAAAAUAUUAAGUCGUACAUAGUAAUAAAAUAAAACAACAGUUUCCAUUAGUUGUUUAGAUGGAAUUUUAAGUCCACCUCUAGAAAUAUGUUCGAUCCAAGAAGAAUCAUCUCCAUCUGUAUUAAUUAAAUGUCAAGCCCUUCUGGUUGAAUUAGUGUUGUAUCUUCUUCUAACUCCAAUAUGACAUCAUCAGAUUUAGGAAUGAUUUCAGAGCAUUGAAUAAUUUGGCUAGUUAAACAUUCGUUUUCACUUAAGAGGUUUAUUUCAUUUCCACACUCAGAGUUUGUAUUAUUGGUGAAAAUGCAAUUGGAAUGUUUCCCAAGAAUAUACCAGCGAAGACUGAAAAUCAUCUUAGAAAUGAACUCGUUCAUUUCUAAAAGAAGAUUUUUUUGGUUUAUAAUGUCAAGUCCAAAACUUGGUCUUCCAUGGUCAUAUUUGUGUGAAGAAUUAUGUAAAUCGAACCAAUCAUUAAAUAAUUGGAUCAUUUUUGAUGCCUAAAAAAUAAUAAAGUAUUAAAAUGUCCAUUUUGUCCUGCAUAUGAUAUGGCUUUAGCAACUGAAUUUGAAAAAACGUGUGCUGAAAGUUUCACAUUCAUCC